CCCACCCCCGCCCCCCUGGAUCCGCCUAUGAUGAUUUGCGUUUUUGCGAACAAAGAAUGAGGCUAUUAAAUACAACUCUCAAUAUUCACAAAUGAGUUCAUUAUCUUUAAGAUUACUUUUUAUAAAAUAAUGAAUUAUUCGAAAAUAAAGAUUUAUAAUAAUUCUCAAGGUAGAGAUAACUGGUCAACUUUGGCAUGCCAACUCUUUUGAUUCUAGCACCACCUUAAGUAGACGAAAUGCACGACUGAAGUGAUAAAUUAUAAGUAUCUAGUAUCUUUGAUGAGUUUUUAUAACCACUUGUGGACGUUUCGUGGAAUUACCAGCUCAGUAGUAAGUAAGCACAUUUGUGUUCACAUGGAAUGCAAUUGAGAUAUCUAUGUUCUAUAAAGAGAAUUGUUUAUAUUAAAUUGUAUUACUCGAAACAAUCAGAUUAUUUGUUUAUCUCCAUGGAAAAGUUAAAUUAAAAAAAUACAGAAUUCCGAGGACAAUUCAAAACGGGAAUUACUGCAUAAAACGACAAAAUCAAAAGCUCAAACACAUAAAACGAAUGUAAAACAACUGUCAUACAGGCAUUUCCCAAGUCAGGAGCCUGUAAUUCAGUAGUUGUCGUUUGUUUAUGUGUUACAUAUUUGUUUUUCGUUCAUUUUUUUAUUUAAAUAAGGCCGUUAGUUUUCUCGUUUGAAUUGUUUUACAAUUUCGUAUCGGGGCCUUUUAUAGCUGACUAUGCGGUAAGGACUUUGCUCAUUGUUGAAGGCCGUACGGUGACCUAUAGCUGUUAAUGUCUGUGUCAUUUUGGUCUCUUGUGGACAGUUGUCCCAUUGGCAAUCAUACCACAUCUUCUUUUUUAUAUUUCCUCAUGUAGAAAAUGGUGGACUAAACCUGGUUUUAAUGCUAGCUAAACCUCUCACUUGUAUGACAGUCGCUAAACAUUACAUUAUAUUAACAACAAUGUGUGAACAAAACAAACAGACCUAAUAGGUAAAAAUAUCAAAAAUAAGGGUACAGUCACAUUGUGUUAUAAUCACUAUGAAAAAAAAAUGUCAACAUAAAAAAAAAUAACAGAUAUACAAACCACACAAGCCAAGAAAAAAAGAGAAGAAUAAAAUAAGAUUACCAAAGGACAACAUCACAAUGGCAGAAUGCAUCAGUACUGAGCCACGUCAAAAUUAUAUUACCAAAAAAUUGACAGAACAGUAAAAGUUAAUAAUUUACAAAACCAUAUUAAAAUGACACAAUAACACGUGAUGACAAACAACGUCAAUACAAAGAAUCUUAACCAUCAUGUAUUAUUUGUGAAGUUGAUACGUAAUAUUUAUCAACAAGGGUAUCUUCCGAUGAAAUUUGUUAGUAAAAGGACGAGACGUUCGUUGACAUAACUCUGGUUCACCAACUUUCUGCUUGACACUGGUGACGUUUUAUAAAGUCUGAGUAGCAGCUUCAACCUCUUGAAUACCAAAUGAGUUGGGAUAUGUAUAUCCCAUAUGCAGUUGAAGUUGGUAUAUUGCUACUAAGGUGGGGGAAAUUGAUAAUUUUGAAAUUGGAAAUCAUCUCGUUUGUCAUAGAUUCUGGUAAUAAAAUGACCGCUUGUGUCAAAUCGAGAUAUAGGUCUAAAAAUGGGCCAGAUGAAGCCCUAUCUGUUUUUCCUAAACUACUAGUUCUGAAGGAUUUAUUAAUGGAAUCCAAUCAGAAAAGCUUGAAUUUUUAAUGAAAAGAAC
rnacentral:lncRNA from 1 species